UACGUAGGGAGCAAGCGUUGUCCGGAAUCAUUGGGCGUAAAGCGCGCGUAGGUGGCUUCGUAAGUCCGUUGUGAAAGUCAAAGGCUCAACCUUUGAAAGCCGAUGGAUACUGCGGAGCUAGAGUACGGAAGAGGCGAGUGGAAUUCCUGGUGUAGCGGUGGAAUGCGCAGGAAUAUCAGGAGGAACACCAAUAGCGAAGGCAGCUCGCUGGGACGUUACUGACACUGAGGCGCGAAAGCGUGGGGAGCGAACAGGA
rnacentral:rRNA from 1 species